rnacentral:rRNA from 1 species
GACGAACGCUGGCGGCGUGCUUAACACAUGCAAGUCGAACGGAAAGGCCCUGCUUGUGUGGGGUGCUCGAGGGGCGAACGGGUGAGUAACACGUGAGUAACCUGCCCUUGACGUUGGGAUAACUUCAGGAAACUGGGGCUAAUACCGGAUAGGAGCUCCUGCUGCAUGGUGGGGGUUGGAAAGUUUCGGCGGUUGGGGAUGGACUCGCGGCUUAUCAGCUUGUUGGUGGGGUAGUGGCUUACCAAGGCUUUGACGGGUAGCCGGCCUGGGAGGGUGACCGGCCACAUUGGGCCUGCGAUACGGCCCAGACUCCUACGGGAGGCAGCAGUGGGGAAUAUUGCCCAAUGGGCGGAAGCCUGAUGCAGCAACGCCGCGUGCGGGAUGACGGCCUUCGGGUUGUAAACCGCUUUCGCCUGUGACGAAGCGUGAGUGACGGUAAUGGGUAAAGAAGCACCGGCUAACUACGUG